GAGGAAUACUGGUCAAUGGACGGAAGUCUGAACCAGCCAAGUAGCGUGCAGGAUGACGGCCCUAUGGGUUGUAAACUGCUUUUGUAUGGGGAUAAAGUUAGGGACGUGUCCCUAUUUGCAGGUACCAUACGAAUAAGGACCGGCUAAUUCCGUGCCAGCAGCCGCGGUAAUACGGAAGGUCCAGGCGUUAUCCGGAUUUAUUGGGUUUAAAGGGAGCGUAGGCUGGAGAUUAAGUGUGUUGUGAAAUGUAGACGCUCAACGUCUGAAUUGCAGCGCAUACUGGUUUCCUUGAGUACGCACAACGUUGGCGGAAUUCGUCGUGUAGCGGUGAAAUGCUUAGAUAUGACGAAGAACUCCGAUUGCGAAGGCAGCUGACGGGAGCGCAACUGACGCUUAAGCUCGAAGGUGCGGGUAUCAAACAGGAUUAGAUACCCUGGUAGUCCGCACGGUAAACGAUGAAUACUCGCAGUUCGGUUAUUAUGGUCGAGCUGUCCAGCGAAAGCGUUAAGUAUUCCACCUGGGGAGUACGCCGGCAACGGUG
rnacentral:rRNA from 1 species